rnacentral:rRNA from 1 species
AAAGAAAUAACAAUACAGGGCGAAUGUCUUGUAAUUGGAAUGAUGGUGACCCAAACCCUCACCAGAGUAGCAAUUGGAGGGCAAGUCUGGUGCCAGCAGCCGCGGUAAUUCCAGCUCCAAUAGCGUAUAUUAAACUUGUUGCAGUUAAAAAGCUCGUAGUUGUAUUUUUGCGUUGACGGUUUGACCAUUUGGUUGGUUAUUUCGUUUUCGCUUUUGGGAAUUUCCCUUUUUACUUUGAGAAAAUUAGAGUGUUUCAAGCAGACUUUUGUCUUGAAUACUUCAGCAUGGAAUAAUAGAGUAGGACUUUGGUUCUAUUUUGUUGGUUAUUGAACCUUAGUAAUGGUUAAUAGGAACGGUUGGGGGCAUUCGUAUUUAACUGUCAGAGGUGAAAUUCUUAGAUUUGUUAAAGACGAACUACUGCGAAAGCAUUUGCCAAGGACGUUUCCAUUAAUCAAGAACGAAAGUUAGGGGAUC